AUUGAACGCUGGCGGCAGGCCUAACACAUGCAAGUCGAGCGGAUAAAGGGAGCUGUCUCCUGGAUUCAGCGGCGGACGGGGGAGUAAUGCCUAGGAAUCUGCCUGGUCGUGGUGGAUAACGUCCGGAAACGGGCGCUGAUACCACAUACGUCCUGAGGGAGAAAGUGGGGGAUCGUCGGACCACACGCUAUCAGAUGAGCCUAGGUCGGAUUGGCUAGUUGGUGGGGUAAGGGCCUACCAAGGCGACGUUCCGUAACUGGUCUGCGAGGAUGAUCAGCCACACGGGAACUGAGACACGGUCAAGACACCUACGGGAGGCAGCAGAGGGGAAUAUUGGACAAGGGGGGAAAACCUGGGACAGAGAGGCGGCGUGUGUGAAGAAGGUCUCCGGAUGGUAAAGAACUUUAAGUGGGGAGAAAGGGCGGGAAGGUAAUACCGUGCUGUUUUGACGUUACAAACAGAAAAGGCACCGGCUAACUUCGUG
rnacentral:rRNA from 1 species